CUUGAGCCACAUCCCCAGCCCUCAUUGUAGUUUUGAUUUGCAUUUCCCUAAUUGCUAGUGAUGUUGAACAUUUUUUACAUGUAUUUAUUGACUAAUUGUAUUUCUUCUUUUGGGAAGUGUCUGUUAAUUCAUUUGUCCAUUUAUUAUUUGGGUUUUUUUGGUAUUAAGUUUUUUUUUUUGAUCUCUCUAUGUAUUCUGGAUAUUAAUCCUCUGUAAAAAGAGUAGUUAGCAAAGAUUUUCUCCCAUUUUGUAUGUUCUCUCUUCACAUUCCUGAUUGCUUCCUUUGCUGCGCAGAGGCUUUUUAACUUGAUGCCAUCCCAUUUAUUAACUCUCAGCAUUAUUUCCUAAACUUUAGAGGUCCUGUUGAAAAAGUUGUUGCCAGUGCCUAUAUGCUUAGAGUGGUAACCCUGUGUUUUCUUCUAGAAAUUGCAUAGUUUAUAGGUCUAACUCCUAGGUCUUUGAUCCAUUUUGAGUUGGUUUUUGUGUGGAGUGAGAGAUAAGGAUCUAGUUUCAUUCUUCUGCAUACGAGAACCAAAUUUCCCUGCACCAUUUGUUAAAAAUGUUUUGUUUUUUUCAAUGCAUAGUUUUGGCACUUUUGUCAAGGAUCAGAUGACUGUAUCGGUGUGGGUUUGUCUCUGUGUCUUCUAUUCCCUACCAUUGGUCUAUGUGUCUGUUUUUAUGCCAGAAUCAUACAGUUUUCUGUUACCAUAGCUCUGAAGUAUAAUUUGAAGUCAGGUACUGUGAUGUCCCCAGCAUUGCUUUUUUGGCUUAGAAUUGCUUUGGCUAUUCUGGGUCUUCUGUUCUUCCAAAUGAAUUUUAUGACUGUUUGUUCUAGUUUUGUGAAGAAUGUCAUUGGUAUUUUGAUGGGGAUCUAUUGCUUUUUUGGGGUUUGGAGGAGGUACCAAGGAUUGAACCUGGGGAUACUUAACCAACUGAACCACAUCUCCAUCCCUUUUGAUUUUUAAAUUUUGAGACAAGGUUAAGUGUGACUGAGUUACUGAGGCAGGCUUUGAACUUGCAAUCUUGCUGCCUUAGCCUCCUGAGCUGCUGGGAUUACAGGUGUUGUCCACUGUGCCCAGUGAUCCAUAUCUCUUUGUAUAUAAACAACUCCAUUGCAGCACUUAACCAUAUUGUAUUUUAGUAAUUUAUUGGCAUAUUGUUUUUCCCAUUAGGAUUUUAGUUUAUUAAUGGCAGAAGCCCAGUUUUAUUCAUUGUUGUGUUUUUAGUAAUCAUCCUAACACCUAGAAUUUAUAGUACAUAUGUGAUAGGUAUUUGUGGAAGAGCACUUGGUUUUGUGAGUGAGAUUAUAUGAACCAAGAAUGCUGAUAACAUUGAUAGACGUAGUGACUUUUCAAAUGGUUUUGUAUUUUGGGGGACAAAAGAUAGUCUAUUUUAAGAUUUAAUAUGAUAUAAUGACAUCAAAUUGUAAUAUCAAGCAAGAUUUAUGGUUGAGUUUUGACUAAGAGUUGAAGAUUGAACAAAUAGUAGUAGGAUCACUCAUAUAGAGAUGGUAACACAAGCCAGGAGUACAUUCAUAUUCUUCCUGAAGGAUAAGAAAGCAUACUCCCCUUAACUAUUGCUUUUUAACUUUAUAACAUGUUUAUUGUUGGAAAAAAAUCAAGCAGUACUGGACAUAAAGUGAAGGCCCCUUCCCCAGGUUGCAGCCCCAUUUUUCAGAGGUAAGUGGUCUUGAAAUGUUGCUUAUGCCUCCUGUGAGCGAUUUAUAAGCAUCCUAUAUGAACUGCAUGUUUAUCAACUCACAGUGGAUCAAGGACCACUUUGAGUAGACCAGAGACCCUGUGCCUACCAUAAGAAAAAGUAGGCUCAAAUCUCCAUCAUGUUGGCUUGGGAACUGAAUUCCUCAAACAAACAAACAAACAAACAAAAAAACUCCUAAAGUGCAAGAAGUAAAAUCAUAAAUCAAUAAAUGAAAUGGUUUCAAACUAAAAAGCUUCUUCAUAACAAAUGAAACAUUCAAGAAUGUGAAGAGAGAGCCUACAGAAUGAGAGAAAAUCUUUGCCACCUGUACCUCAGAUAGAGCAUUAAUCUCUAGGAUAUAUAAAGAACUCAAAAAACUUAACAGCAAAAAACAAAUAACCCAAUCAAUAAAUGGGCUAAGGAACUGAACAGACACUUCACAGAAGAAGAAAUGUAAUUGAUCAACAAACAUGAAAAAAUGUUCAGCAAUUAGAGAAACACAAAUCAAAACUAAGAUUUCAUCUCACUCUAGUCAGAAUGGCAAUUAUCAAGAAUAUAAGCAACAAUAAAUGUUGGAGAGGAUGUGGGGGAAAAUGUAGACUAGUAUAUUGCUUGUGGGACAGCAAAUUGGUGUAGCAUUCUGAAAAGCAGUAUGGAGAUUCCUUAGAAAACUUGGAAUGGAACCACCAGCUAUCCCUCUCCUCAGUCUAUACCCAAAGGACUUAAAAUCAGCACACUAGAGUGAUGUAGCCACAUCAAUGUUUAUAGCAGCUCAAUUCACAAUAGCUAAACUAUGGAACCAACCUGGAUGCCCUUCAAUAGAUGAAUGAAUAAAGAAACUGUGGUAUAUAUACACAAUGGAAUACUACUCAGCAUUAAAAGAAUAAAAUUAUGGCAUUUGCUAGUAAAUGGAUGGAACUAGAGAAUAUCAUGCUAAGUGAAGUAAGCCAAUCCCGGCCAAAUGUUUUUUUUGAUAAGCG
rnacentral:lncRNA from 1 species